UACGUAGGGUGCGAGCGUUAUUCGGAAUUACUGGGCGUAAAGCGCGCGCAGGCGGUUUUGUAAGUCAGCUGUGAAAGCCCCGGGCUCAACCUGGGAAUGGCAUUUGGGACUGCAAGGCUGGAGUUUGGCAGAGGAGGCUGGAAUUCCUGGUGUAGCAGUGAAAUGCGUAGAUAUCAGGAGGAAUACCGAUGGCGAAGGCAGGUCGCUUGGCUAUAACUGACGCUCAUGCACGAAAGCGUGGGGAGCAAACAGG
rnacentral:rRNA from 1 species